UUGACCUCGGAUCAGGUAGGACUACCCGCUGAACUUAAGCAUAUCAAUAAGCGGAGGAAAAGAAACCAACAGGGAUUGCCUCAGUAACGGCGAGUGAAGCGGCAACAGCUCAGAUUUGGAAUCUGGCCCCCAGGGCCCGAGUUGUAAUCUGGAGAGGAUGCUUCUGGCGCGGCGCCUUCCGAGUUCCCUGGAACGGGACGCCGGAGAGGGUGAGAGCCCCGUACGGUCGGACGCCCAGCCUCUGUGAAGCUCCUUCGACGAGUCGAGUAGUUUGGGAAUGCUGCUCAAAAUGGGAGGUAAAUUUCUUCUAAAGCUAAAUACCGGCCAGAGACCGAUAGCGCACAAGUAGAGUGAUCGAAAGAUGAAAAGCACUUUGAAAAGAGGGUUAAACAGUACGUGAAAUUGUUGAAAGGGAAGCGCCCGUGGCCAGACUUGCGCCCCGCGGACCACCCGGCGUUCUCGCCGGUGCACUCCGCGAGGCGCAGGCCAGCAUCGGUUCUCCCAGGGGGACAAAGGCUGCGGGAACGUAGCUCCUACGGGAGUGUUAUAGCCCGCGGCGCCAUGCCCCUGGGGGGACCGAGGACCGCGCUUCGGCAAGGAU
rnacentral:rRNA from 1 species